rnacentral:rRNA from 1 species
AGAGAGCUUGCUCUCGGGUGACGAGCGGCGGACGGGUGAGUAAUGUCUGGGAAACUGCCUGAUGGAGGGGGAUAACUACUGGAAACGGUAGCUAAUACCGCAUAACGUCGCAAGACCAAAGUGGGGGACCUUCGGGCCUCAUGCCAUCAGAUGUGCCCAGAUGGGAUUAGCUAGUAGGUGGGGUAAUGGCUCACCUAGGCGACGAUCCCUAGCUGGUCUGAGAGGAUGACCAGCCACACUGGAACUGAGACACGGUCCAGACUCCUACGGGAGGCAGCAGUGGGGAAUAUUGCACAAUGGGCGCAAGCCUGAUGCAGCCAUGCCGCGUGUAUGAAGAAGGCCUUCGGGUUGUAAAGUACUUUCAGCGAGGAGGAAGGCAUUAAGGUUAAUAACCUUGGUGAUUGACGUUACUCGCAGAAGAAGCACCGGCUAACUCCGUGCCAGCAGCCGCGGUAAUACGGAGGGUGCAAGCGUUAAUCGGAAUUACUGGGCGUAAAGCGCACGCAGGCGGUCUGUCAAGUCGGAUGUGAAAUCCCCGGGCUCAACCUGGGAACUG